rnacentral:ribozyme from 13 species
AGAGAGAGAGAGAGAAGAAGAGAUUGUUAGCAGAAGCGACGAUUUUAGGGAAAAUGAGAUCAAUGUUUAUUCCUAUUUUUUUUGGGGGUUGUUUUACAAUUCCUUUUCCUUUUAUUGUUAUGGAAUAUGUCCCUUCUUUUUCUCUUGAGAGUGUUUUGAGAGAUGGGGGGAGGU